UACGGAGGGUGCGAGCGUUGUUCGGAAUCACUGGGCGUAAAGCGCGUGUAGGCGGCCUAUUAAGUCUGAUGUGAAAGCCCGGGGCUCACCCCCGGAAGUGCAUUGGAAACUGAUGGACUCGAGUCCCGGAGAGGAGAGUGGAAUUCCUGGUGUAGCGGUGAAAUGCGUAGAUAUCAGGAGGAACACCGGUGGCGAAGGCGGCUCUCUGGACGGUGACUGACGCUGAGACGCGAAAGCGUGGGGAGCAAACAGG
rnacentral:rRNA from 1 species